GAUGAAGAACGCAGCGAAAUGCGAUAAGUAAUGUGAAUUGCAGAAUUCAGUGAAUCAUCGAAUCUUUGAACGCACCUUGCGCCUUUUGGUAUUCCGAAAGGCACACCUGUUUGAGCGUCAUGAAUACCUCAAUCUCCAUCUUUUCUUCGGAUUGAUGGGUGACUUGGAUGUUGAGCCCUGCUGGUAUGCUAUAUCAGCUGGCUUUAAACUUGUUAGCCGGCUCUGUACUGGAUCGGUUUGACUCGACGUGAUAAUAUUAUCGUUGAGGAUGCAUGUCUCAUGCAGCCGGAAAGUAUCAAAGCAGCUUCUAGCUUGCCUUUAGUGCACUUUUACAUUUUAGACCUCAGAUCAGGUGGGACUACCCGCUGAACUUAAGCAUAUCAAUAAGCGGAGGA
rnacentral:misc_RNA from 1 species